rnacentral:rRNA from 1 species
UUUAUCGGAGAGUUUGAUCCUGGCUCAGGACGAACGCUGGCGGCGUGCCUAAUACAUGCAAGUCGAGCGGGCAGAUGGGAGCUUGCUCCCUGAUGUUAGCGGCGGACGGGUGAGUAACACGUGGGUAACCUGCCUGUAAGACUGGGAUAACUCCGGGAAACCGGGGCUAAUACCG